rnacentral:tRNA from 1 species
GGGGUUGUGGCUCAGCGGUAGAGCACUCUCCUAGCACGUGUGCGACCCUGUGUUCGUGCGACCCUGUGUUCAAUCCUCAGCACCACA